rnacentral:rRNA from 1 species
GACAGAGGUGCCAAGCGUUAGGCGGAAUCAUUGGGCGUAAAGCGCGCGUAGGCGGCCUUGUAAGUCCGUUGUGAAAGUCAAAGGCUCAACCUUUGAAAGCCGAUGGAUACUGUGAGGCUAGAGUCCGGAAGAGGCGAGUGGAAUUCCUGGUGUAGCGGUGGAAUGCGCAGAUAUCAGGAGGAACACCAAUAGCGAAGGCAGCUCGCUGGGACGGUACUGACGCUAAGGCGCGAAAGCGUGGGGAGCGAACAGG